UACGAAGGGGGCUAGCGUUGCUCGGAAUCACUGGGCGUAAAGGGUGCGUAGGCGGGUCUUUAAGUCAGGGGUGAAAUCCUGGAGCUCAACUCCAGAACUGCCUUUGAUACUGAGGAUCUUGAGUCCGGGAGAGGUGAGUGGAACUGCGAGUGUAGAGGUGAAAUGCGUAGAUAUCUGGAGGAACACCGGUGGCGAAGGCGGCAUCCUGGACCGACACUGACGCUGAGGAGCGAAAGCCAGGGGAGCAAACGGG
rnacentral:rRNA from 1 species